GUUUCCGUAGUGUAGCGGUUAUCACGUCUGCUUCACACGCAGAUCCCCGGUUCGAUCCCGGGCGGGGACA